GUGCUUGCUUUGGCAGCACAUAUACUAAAAAUUGGAAUGAUACAGAGAAGAUCAGCAUGGCCCCUGCACAAGGAUGACCCUCAAAUUUGUGAAUCAUUCCAUAUUUUU